GAAUAAUAAAGCAACUGUUUCAACCAUGCAUUGAGUCCAAAUAAAGCCACAGAUGUAAUUUAAUUUGUGUGCUAAAAUAAAGUUGCACAUAAUAAAUAGAGAUGACUUGUCCUGGCAUUGGGUGGCUCAUUAUCUAAAGGGCCUCCAGUCCUGUGUCCCUGGUCCCAAAGGUCCUUAAGCCAGGGAUGGCUAGAGUGAGAACAUUCGAAGACAUUCUGAUGUCAGGGCUCUGGGCCAAGUCCUGAUUCUGCCCUGAAAAGUAGAAGCCCUAAAUUGGGAAACAACAAGGGGAAGAGGCGGGGUGUGUUAUCUCCUAAUCAGCCUUCCUGACCUUGUGGGCAUCCCCAAAUAGCUUCAGACAGUAUGGCCUUUCCAUUUGGUGCCCAAACUGAGAACUUAUAGAAAGUAUUGAACUUUGCCCUCCUGACUUCUAAUAUUCUGAUACUAGUUGCCUACCCCAACCAAUGACUAGAUUGACUGUGGAGACCUCCUAAGCCACUCACCAGCCCCGACUUUACCCCAGCUUGCCUUUGACACUAAGCUCCCUCUGGCUUGGGACUGCCAGCUUCAUGCUCUGGAGUGGUUCCAAAUUAUAAGGAGGGCAGCAUUGCCCAAGUGCUCAAUGAAUAUUUGUUGAAUGAAUAACUAAUCAGUGGGGGGUAAUACAGUGAGUAUAUCUGUGUUUGUAGCAUAGCAUAUAUAUGAUACAUGGAGGUAAUACGUAGCUUCUGUUUUUUUUGUUUUUGUUUUUGGAGGAAGAUUAGCCCUCAGCUAACUACUGCCAGUCCUCCUCUUUUUGCCGAGGAAGCCUGACCCUGAGCUAACAUCCGUGCCCAUCUUCCUCUAGUUUAUACGUGGGACGCCUACCACAGCAUGGCUGCCAAGCAGUGCCAUGUCGGCACCUGGGAUCCGAACCAGCGAACCCCGGGCCGCCGAGAAGCGGAACGUGCGAACUUAACCGCUGCGCCACCGGGCCGGCCCCAGUAGCUUCUGUUUUUAAAGAUGUGAAGCUGAAAAGGCAAAUGUACCAGAAGCAAGGACUGAGAAGGACCCUGCAAGCUCCUGACUCACCCAGCUUCUCUCUGACUUUGAUCAGUCGAUAGUAGGAGCAAGAAGACAGACCUGGAUAACCAGCCUCUGAAAAACAGAAGGUUAAUAUGUUUUUUUCCAGGAGACUUGCCAAAGAUCCUGCUCAAUAGUCUGAUUGAGAAAAAUUUAUGUGUUUCCCCCUACCUGUAUCUUGAAACAUUUUCCUGCAUGGUAAAUAUAUUUACCUUGGUAAAUAAUUUCAAUUAAACUGGAAUUAGAAAAAAAAAUAACAUUUUCUGCAAUGUGAAACAAUAGCUCAAACUUUUUUGCCUCUCCUCUUUCUGUGAUUUACAAUGACAUCUAAUACUGGAAUAAAAACUCGAAUAUGAUCUAUGAAGCUUGAAGU
rnacentral:lncRNA from 1 species